UAGCAACCGCACAAGGCCGGGCAGGG
rnacentral:misc_RNA from 1 species